rnacentral:lncRNA from 1 species
GUCUCUAGCCAUUCAGAUCCUUGCUAUGUAUGUUGGCUUCAGUAGAUUUAGAUUCGUCAUUAGGAGUAGGAUGCACCUGAAUGAAAUCAAUUGACCUUGGUGGAAAAAAAAUAGUCCUAUGUGAUUUAUGAGAUUGAUUUCAAAAAGUUUUUGGCCAAAGCAAGUGUGAAUGGUAGAAAAAUAUUUUUACAAAAUUUACAGAUGAACUCGAGUCGAGCCAAUUUUGCAUAUGACUAAGGAUGGAGUAUGAUAAGUUCUUCAUGAUCUCUGUCU